rnacentral:rRNA from 1 species
GACGAACGCUGGCGGCGUGCUUAACACAUGCAAGUCGAACGGAAAGGCCCUGCUUUUGUGGGGUGCUCGAGUGGCGAACGGGUGAGUAACACGUGAGUAACCUGCCCUUGACUUUGGGAUAACUUCAGGAAACUGGGGCUAAUACCGGAUAGGAGCUCCUGCUGCAUGGUGGGGGUUGGAAAGUUUCGGCGGUUGGGGAUGGACUCGCGGCUUAUCAGCUUGUUGGUGGGGUAGUGGCUUACCACGGCUUUGACGGGUAGCCGGCCUGAGAGGGUGACCGGCCACAUUGGGACUGAGAUACGGCCCAGACUCGUACGGGAGGCAGCAGUGGGGAAUAUUGCACAAUGGGCGGAAGCCUGAUGCAGCAACGCCGCGUGCGGGAUGACGGCCUUCGGGUUGUAAACCGCUUGCGCAUGUGACGAAGCGUGAGUGACGGUAAUGGGUAAAGAAGCACCGGCUAAAUACGUG